rnacentral:rRNA from 1 species
GAUGAACGCUGGCGGCGUGCCUAAUACAUGCAAGUCGAGCGAACGGACGAGAAGCUUGCUUCUCUGAUGUUAGCGGCGGACGGGUGAGUAACACGUGGAUAACCUACCUAUAAGACUGGGAUAACUUCGGGAAACCGGAGCUAAUACCGGAUGAUAUUUUGAACCGCAUGGUUCAAAAGUGAAAGACGGUCUUGCUGUCACUUAUAGAUGGAUCCGCGCUGCAUUAGCUAGUUGGUAAGGUAACGGCUUACCAAGGCAACGAUGCAUAGCCGACCUGAGAGGGUGAUCGGCCACACUGGAACUGAGACACGGUCCAGAAUCCUACGGGAGGCAGCAGUAGGGAAUCUUCCGCAAUGGGCGAAAGCCUGACGGAGCAACGCCGCGUGAGUGAUGAAGGUCUUCGGAUCGUAAAACUCUGUUAUUAGGGAAGAACAUAUGUGUAAGUAACUGUGCACAUCUUGACGGUACCUAAUCAGAAAGCCACGGCUAACUACGUG